AUUGAACGCUGGCGGCAGGCCUAACACAUGCAAGUCGAACGAGUGGCGGACGGGUGAGUAAUGUCUGGGAAACUGCCUGCUGGAGGGGGAUAACUACUGGAAACGGUAGCUAAUACCGCAUACCAUCAGAUGUGCCCAGAUGGGAUUAGCUAGUUGGUGGGGUAACGGCUCACCAAGGCGACGAUCCCUAGCUGGUCUGAGAGGAUGACCAGCCACACUGUAACUGGGACACGGUCCAGAGUCCUACGGGAGGCAGCAGUGGGGAAUAUUGGACAAUGGGCGAAAGCCUGAUCCAGCCAUGCCGCGUGUGUGAAGAAGGUCUUCGGAUUGUAAAGCACUUUAAGUUGGGAGGCGUUACCAACAGAAUAAGCACCGGCUAACUUCGUGCCAGCAGCCGCGGUAAUAC
rnacentral:rRNA from 1 species